GAUUCUGCAAUGACUAGAUGCAGUAAGUGGAGGUGUUGAUGGGCUGAAACUCUGAAUGUUCUUCCCAAUUCCAAUGCUGCAACUUGAAUCAUCUGAUUCCAUCACAAGGUUCUUCCUUCCCUUUUCAAAUCCUCUAGAUGCUCCAGCAAUCUUUAUUUCAUUUCCCAAAAAACACACAUAAAAAGUAAAGUUUAUCAGAAAAUGAUUAUGAUAAAGAGCUGCUAUAAGAAUGUGCAAGACAAAUCUGACCCAUAUCAAAAAAAUUUGUUCUUUUUCUGGACAAGAUUAAACAGGAAAACGAAAUGCUUGGAAACGUUAGGUGAAACUGUAAAAGAAUAAACCAAAUUUGAAGAUGACCCAUUUCAAAAAGUUUUCAUCUUUUUACUCAAAAAGGCAAUGAAAUGGUAGGUGAAACUGUAAGAGAUCCUUGUUACCCAAUACCAAAGUUUCUUCCUUUU
rnacentral:lncRNA from 1 species